GCGGGGGGGGGGCGGGGGAGGUGGCUUACGCUACCCGACUUGAAGACUUAGUCUGAGCCCCUGUAGACCGUGGAAUGUGCCAGUGGCAUCGGGAGACACACACACUCAGACAGACGGUCGCAGCUGAGAGACUGGAAACGGACCCACAGCUGGCCUGGAAGACGAGGAAAACAGCAAGGCACAGACAGGGAGAGAGGGUUCACAAAACCCAUCUGGCAAAAGAAGCAAGCAAGGGAGAAAGCGUACAAGCCCCAACCCGCCCUCAGAGAGAUGGACAUUAAAGUCACAUUGACACAGCAGCCUCUCAACAGCACGGCAAAACCAGGCGAGGAAACCCCCACUCCUGGCAAAGACGUGGCACGGCCAGUACUCUCGAUCUUGCGCCGACACCAACCCCCUACUCAGAGACCCUUAGA